AGCAGCCAGCAGGAUGAUGGCAGAGAGCAGUGAUCAUGUGGGUGAUGAGUGACCAGCAGACUGAAUAGGAUGCUUUUUUACCUCUCCUCCAUUCAGGGGCGAGGUGAACUCUGAAGGAUUGGGCAUGUGAAGGGGCCAUUUAGAUUGCUGGACGUAAGAACAUGAGAGGGAAAGGACAUUGGCCAACCCUACUUGAGAACUUCCAAGCUCUAUGCCCCAAGCCAGGGGAAAUGCAUUGUUUCGCUGCCUCUGGAACAAUCAGGAAGUAGAGUGUGACUAUCCUAGCAGGUGUGCUGAAGAGGCAGAUCUCAGACUUCAUUCAUUCCCUAUGCACCAAGCAUCCUGAGUGAGAGACACAACCCCACUAGGUGCCAAGCACCCUCAACUUCCAUUGGCAUGAAGUCUCAGCAUUUUGCAAGAUCAGAAUCUUCUUGCACUUAAACAAGAUUUCUUUCUGCGGGC